CAGAAAGUUACAAGCAACAGUGUGGAUGCCUUGGCGACAUCUGGCGAAGAAGGACGCGACAAGCUGCGAUAAGCCCCGGGGAGCCGCAAAUAGGCCGAUCCGGGGAUUUCCGAAUGGGGAAACCCUGUCAGCAAUGACAAUCCUGUCCUGAAUUCAAUAGGGGCAGAGAAGCAAACCUGGAGAAGUGAAACAUCUCAGUAUCCAGAGGAAAAGAAAGCGAAUGCGAUUCCCUCAGUAGUGGCGAACGAAAGGGGAACAGCCCAAACCAAGAGGACUUGUCCUCCUGGGGUACGGGCCUCAAUGUGAGACUGAAGAGGUUAGGCGAAGCGUUUGAAUGACGCGUCAUAGAGGGUGAGAACCCCGUAGCCAAAAACCCGAUCAGCUCUAGAGGUACCCAGAGUAGCACCGGACACGUGAAACCCGGUGUGAAAAAAACGCAGACCACUGCGUAAGGCUAAAUACACGAUGUCGACCGAUAGUGAAGAGUACCGCGAGGGAAAGGUGAAAAGCACCCCUGUUAGGGGAGUGAAAAGUACCUGAAACCUGUUGCUUACAAGCGGUCGGAGCCCCCUCGUGGGGUGACGGCGUACCUUUUGCAUAAUGGGUCUGGGAGUUAACGUAAGGAGCCAGCCUAAGGUCCCUCAGGACCGGAGGCGCAGCGAAAGCGAGUCUGAAUAGGGCGCAUAGUUCCUUGCGUUAUACCCGAAGCGGAGGUGAUCUACCCAUGACCAGGUUGAAGCCCAAGUAACAUUGGGUGGAGGACCGAACUGAUGGCACUUGAGAAUGCCCCGGAUGAGUUGUGGGUAGGAGUGAAAGGCUAAUCAAACCCCGUAAUAGCUGGUUCUCUCCGAAAUAUAUUUAGGUAUAGCGUCCAGCGCUGACCCGUGGGGGUAGAGCACUGAAAAGGCUAGGGGACACACCCGUCUACCAACCCUUAUCAAACUCCGAAUACCACGGGGCGAAGCUGGGCAGUCAGGCAGUGGGGGAUAAGCUUCAUUGCCGAGAGGAAAACAGUCCAGACCACCAAUUAAGGCCCCAAAGACGUAGCUAAGUGGAUUAAAGAAUGUGAACUUGCACAGACAAUAGGGAUGUUGGCUUAGAGGCAGCCACCAUUUAAACAGUGCGUAACAGCUGACCUAUCGAGUGAGUUUGCGUCUAAGAUGAUCGGGACUAAGCGACGCGCCGAAGUUGUGGGCUCGUCAGGGAGCGAUCCCUGGCGAGCGGUAGGAGAGCGUUCCAGCAGCGGUGAAGCGGAAGCGGUAAGCGACCGUGGAGCGGCUGGAAGUGAGUAUCCAGACAUAAGUAACGAUAAGAAUGGUUGAAAUCCAUUCCGCCGUAAGGAUAAGGUUUCCAGGGCAAGGGUCGUCCCCCCUGGGUUAGUCGGGAGCUAAGCCGAGGCCGUAAGGAGUAGGCGAUGCACAUCAGGUUAAUAUUCCUGAACCAAGUAGAGAGGACGGGAUCAUGGAGUCAGCAGACCUUAUUGACUUGGCAGUCCGAGGCUACGGCCGAGGACGCGCUGAUGAAGUGAUCUCCAGGAAAAGCCUCUACAUUAGCCCGUACCGCAAACCGACACAGGUAUCCGGGAUGAGUAUUCUAAGGCGCGUGAGUUAAACCUCCUCAAGGAACUCGACAAAUUAACCCCGUAUCUUCGGUAUAAGGGGUGCUCCGGGCAACCGGAGUCGCAGUGAAGAGGCCCUACCGACUGUUUAGCAAAAACACAGCUCUCUGCUAAGUCGCAAGACGACGUAUAGGGAGUGACGUGUGACCAAUGCGGAAAGGUGAAAGCUGGAGCUGCAAGGUUCCGGUCUAAGCCCCCGUGAAUGUCGGCCGUAACUAUAACGGUCCUAAGGUAGCGAAAUUCCUUGUC
rnacentral:rRNA from 1 species